UGGCUCAGAGGUUUAGAGCACUGGGUACUCUUCCAGAGAUCCUGAGUUCAAUUCUCAG
rnacentral:tRNA from 1 species